GUCGAACGCUGGCGGCGUGCCUAAUACAUGCAAGUCGAACGAGUGGCGGACGGGUGAGUAACACGUGGGAACCUACCCAUCAGAGUGGGAUAACUACUGGCAACGGUCGCUAAUACCGCAUACCAUCAGAUGUGCCCAUGUGGGAUUAGCUUGUUGGUGGGGUAACGGCUCACCAAGUCGACGAUCCCUAGCUGGUCUGAGAGGAUGACCAGCCACACUGGAACUGAGACACGGUCCAGACUCCUACGGGAGGCAGCAGUGGGGAAUAUUGCACAAUGGGCGCAAGCCUGAUGCAGCCAUGCCGCGUGUAUGAAGAAGGCCUUCGGGUUGUAAAGUACUUUCAGCGGGGAGGCGUUACCCGCAGAAGAAGCACCGGCUAACUCCGUGCCAGCAGCCGCGGUAAUAC
rnacentral:rRNA from 1 species